CAAAAACAUGUCUUUUUGAGUUAUUUUUAAAGUCUGACCUGCCCACUGAAAUUGUUUAAAUGGCCGCAGUAUUCUAACUGUGCAAAGGUAGCAUAAUCAUUAGUCUUUUAAUUGAAGGCUGGUAUGAACGGUUGGACGAGGUAUAAGCUGUUUCAUAUAAAUUUAUAAUAGAAUUUUAUAUUUUAGUUAAAAAGCUAAAAUAUAUUUAAAAGACGAGAAGACCCUAUAAAUCUUUAUAUUUUGUGUUGUUUAAAUUUUUUGGAAUUGGUUUAUUUUUAUGAUUUAAAAUAUUUUGUUGGGGUGAUAUUAAAAUUUAAUGAACUUUUAAUUAUUUAAAAUCAUUAAUUUAUGAGUUAUUGAUCCGUUAAUAGUGAUUAUAAGAUUAAGUUACUUUAGGGAUAACAGCGUAAUUUUUUUGGAGAGUUCAUAUCGAUAAAAAAGUUUGCGACCUCGAUGUUGGAUUAAGAUAUAAUUUUAGGUGUAGCCGCUUAAA
rnacentral:rRNA from 1 species